UGAAAAUUUUCAGUUGGUAAC
rnacentral:piRNA from 1 species